CGAGUUACGAUUUGUUGCAAGGUUAAGCGGAAAAAGCGGAGCCGUAGCGAAAGCGAGUCUGAAUAGGGCGCAUAAGUAACAGGUCGUAGACCCGAAACCAGGUGAUCUACCCAUGUCCAGGAUGAAGGUAAGGUAAUACUUACUGGAGGUCCGAACCCACGCACGUUGAAAAGUGCGGGGAUGAGGUGUGGGUAGCGGAGAAAUUCCAAUCGAACUUGGAGAUAGCUGGUUCUCUCCGAAAUAGCUUUAGGGCUAGCCUCGAGGUAAAGAGUCAUGGAGGUAGAGCACUGUUUGGACUAGGGGCCCUUCUCGGGUUACCGAAUUCAGAUAAACUCCGAAUGCCAUGUACUUAUACUCGGGAGUCAGACUGCGAGUGAUAAGAUCCGUAGUCGAAAGGGAAACAGCCCAGACCACCAGUUAAGGUCCCCAAAUAUAUGUUAAGUGGAAAAGGAUGUGGGGUUGCUUAGACAACCAGGAUGUUGGCUUAGAAGCAGCCACCAUUGAAAGAGUGCGUAAUAGCUCACUGGUCGAGUGACCCCGCGCCGAAAAUGUACCGGGGCUAAACAUAUUACCGAAACUGUGGAUGAACCUCUUUAGAGGUUCGUGGUAGGAGAGCGUUCUAAGGGCGGUGAAGUCAGACCGGAAGGACUGGUGGAGCGCUUAGAAGUGAGAAUGCCGGUAUGAGUAGCGAAAGAAGGGUGAGAAUCCCUUCCACCGAAUAUCUAAGGUUUCCUGAGGAAGGCUCGUCCGCUCAGGGUUAGUCGGGACCUAAGCCGAGGCCGAUAGGCGUAGGCGAUGGACAACAGGUAGAGAUUCCUGUACCAGUGCUAAUUGUUUAACCGAUGGGGUGACACAGAAGGAUAGGGAAUCGCACGAAUGGAAAUGUGCGUCCAAGCAGUGAGUGUGAGAAGUAGGCAAAUCCGCUUCUCGCGAAGCAUGAGCUGUGAUGGGGAAGGAAAUUAAGUACGGAAGUUCCUGAUUUCACGCUGUCAAGAAAAGCCUCUAGGAAGAGUAGUACUGCCCGUACCGCAAACCGACACAGGUAGAUGAGGAGAGAAUCCUAAGGUGAGCGAGAGAACUCUCGUUAAGGAACUCGGCAAAAUGACCCCGUAACUUCGGGAGAAGGGGUGCUCUAUUAGGGUGCAAGCCCGAGAGAGCCGCAGUGAAUAGGCCCAGGCGACUGUUUAGCAAAAACACAGGUCUCUGCAAAACCGUAAGGUGACGUAUAGGGGCUGACGCCUGCCCGGUGCUGGAAGGUUAAGAGGAGUGCUUAGCUUCGGCGAAGGUACGAAUUGAAGCCCCAGUAAACGGCGGCCGUAACUAUAACGGUCCUAAGGUAGCGAAAUUCCUUGUCGGGUAAGUUCCGACCCGCACGAAAGGCGCAACGAUCUGGGCACUGUCUCAACGAGAGACUCGGUGAAAUUAUAGUACCUGUGAAGAUGCAGGUUACCCGCGACAGGACGGAAAGACCCCGUGGAGCUUUACUGCAACCUGAUAUGGAAUGUUUGUACCGCUUGUACAGGAUAGGUAGGAGCCGAAGAGACGUGUGCGCUAGCAUACGAGGAGGCAAUGGUGGGAUACUACCCUGGCUGUAUGACCAUUCUAACCCGCCACGCUUAGCGCGUGGGGAGACAGUGUCAGGUGGGCAGUUUGACUGGGGCGGUCGCCUCCUAAAGAGUAACGGAGGCGCCCAAAGGUUCCCUCAGAAUGGAUGGAAAUCAUUCGCAGAGUGUAAAGGCACAAGGGAGCUUGACUGCGAGACUGACAAGUCGAGCAGGGACGAAAGUCGGGCUUAGUGAUCCGGUGGUUCCGCAUGGA
rnacentral:rRNA from 1 species